UACGAAGGGGGCUAGCGUUGCUCGGAAUUACUGGGCGUAAAGCGCACGUAGGCGGCUUUCUAAGUCGGGGGUGAAAUCCUGGAGCUCAACUCCAGAACUGCCUUCGAUACUGGAGAGCUCGAGUCCGGGAGAGGUGAGUGGAACUGCGAGUGUAGAGGUGAAAUUCGUAGAUAUUCGCAAGAACACCAGUGGCGAAGGCGGCUCACUGGCCCGGUACUGACGCUGAGGUGCGAAAGCGUGGGGAGCAAACGGG
rnacentral:rRNA from 1 species